GACGAACGCUGGCGGCGUGCCUAAUACAUGCAGGUAGAACGCACAGUUUAUACCGUAGCUUGCUACACCAUAAACUGUGAGUUGCGAACGGGUGAGUAACGCGUAGGUAACCUGCCUGGUAGCGGGGGAUAACUAUUGGAAACGAUAGCUAAUACCGCAUAAUAUUGAUUAUUGCAUGAUAAUUGAUUGAAAGAUGCUAUUGCAUCACUACCAGAUGGACCUGCGUUGUAUUAGCUAGUAGGUGAGGUAACGGCUCACCUAGGCGACGAUACAUAGCCGACCUGAGAGGGUGAUCGGCCACACUGGGACUGAGACACGGCCCAGACUCCUACGGGAGGCAGCAGUAGGGAAUCUUCGGCAAUGGACGAAAGUCUGACCGAGCAACGCCGCGUGAGUGAAGAAGGUUUUCGGAUCGUAAAGCUCUGUUGUAAGAGAAGAACGGGUGUGAGAGUGGAAAGUUCACACUGUGACGGUAUCUUACCAGAAAGGGACGGCUAACUACGUG
rnacentral:rRNA from 1 species